CCAGGAUGUUGGCUUAGAAGCAGCCAUCAUUUAAAGAAAGCGUAAUAGCUCACUGGUCGAGUCGGCCUGCGCGGAAGAUGUAACGGGGCUAAACCAUGCACCGAAGCUGCGGCAGCGACACUAUGUGUUGUUGGGUAGGGGAGCGUUCUGUAAGCCUGUGAAGGUGUACUGUGAGGUAUGCUGGAGGUAUCAGAAGUGCGAAUGCUGACAUAAGUAACGAUAAAGCGGGUGAAAAGCCCGCUCGCCGGAAGACCAAGGGUUCCUGUCCAACGUUAAUCGGGGCAGGGUGAGUCGACCCCUAAGGCGAGGCCGAAAGGCGUAGUCGAUGGGAAACAGGUUAAUAUUCCUGUACUUGGUGUUACUGCGAAGGGGGGGACGGAGAAGGCUAUGUUGGCCGGGCGACGGUUGUCCCGGUUUAAGCGUGUAGGCUGGUUUUCCAGGCAAAUCCGGAAAAUCAAGGCUGAGGCGUGAUGACGAGGCACUACGGUGCUGAAGCAACAAAUGCCCUGCUUCCAGGAAAAGCCUCUAAGCAUCAGGUAACAUCAAAUCGUACCCCAAACCGACACAGGUGGUCAGGUAGAGAAUACCAAGGCGCUUGAGAGAACUCGGGUGAAGGAACUAGGCAAAAUGGUGCCGUAACUUCGGGAGAAGGCACGCUGAUAUGUAGGUGAAGUCCCUCGCGGAUGGAGCUGAAAUCAGUCGAAGAUACCAGCUGGCUGCAACUGUUUAUUAAAAACACAGCACUGUGCAAACACGAAAGUGGACGUAUACGGUGUGACGCCUGCCCGGUGCCGGAAGGUUAAUUGAUGGGGUUAGCCGCAAGGCGAAGCUCUUGAUCGAAGCCCCGGUAAACGGCGGCCGUAACUAUAACGGUCCUAAGGUAGCGAAAUUCCUUGUCGGGUAAGUUCCGACCUGCACGAAUGGCGUAAUGAUGGCCAGGCUGUCUCCACCCGAGACUCAGUGAAAUUGAACUCGCUGUGAAGAUGCAGUGUACCCGCGGCAAGACGGAAAGACCCCGUGAACCUUUACUAUAGCUUGACACUGAACAUUGAGCCUUGAUGUGUAGGAUAGGUGGGAGGCUUUGAAGUGUGGACGCCAGUCUGCAUGGAGCCGACCUUGAAAUACCACCCUUUAAUGUUUGAUGUUCUAACGUUGACCCGUAAUCCGGGUUGCGGACAGUGUCUGGUGGGUAGUUUGACUGGGGCGGUCUCCUCCUAAAGAGUAACGGAGGAGCACGAAGGUUGGCUAAUCCUGGUCGGACAUCAGGAGGUUAGUGCAAUGGCAUAAGCCAGCUUGACUGCGAGCGUGACGGCGCGAGCAGGUGCGAAAGCAGGUCAUAGUGAUCCGGUGGUUCUGAAUGGAAGGGCCAUCGCUCAACGGAUAAAAGGUACUCCGGGGAUAACAGGCUGAUACCGCCCAAGAGUUCAUAUCGACGGCGGUGUUUGGCACCUCGAUGUCGGCUCAUCACAUCCUGGGGCUGAAGUAGGUCCCAAGGGUAUGGCUGUUCGCCAUUUAAAGUGGUACGCGAGCUGGGUUUAGAACGUCGUGAGACAGUUCGGUCCCUAUCUGCCGUGGGCGCUGGAGAACUGAGGGGGGCUGCUCCUAGUACGAGAGGACCGGAGUGGACGCAUCACUGGUGUUCGGGUUGUCAUGCCAAUGGCACUGCCCGGUAGCUAAAUGCGGAAGAGAUAAGUGCUGAAAGCAUCUAAGCACGAAACUUGCCCCGAGAUGAGUUCUCCCUGAC
rnacentral:rRNA from 1 species